UACGUAGGAUGCAAGCGUUGUCCGGAAUUAUUGGGCGUAAAGAGCGCGCAGGCGGUAUGACAAGUCAGAUGUGAAAGAGGCCGGCUUAACCGGCAAGGGUCAUUUGAAACUGUCAGACUAGAGUGCAGCAGAGGAUAGUGGAAUUCCCGGUGUAGUGGUGAAAUGCGUAGAUAUCGGGAGGAACACCAGUGGCGAAGGCGACUAUCUGGGCUGCAACUGACGCUGAGGCGCGAAGGCGUGGGGAGCAAACAGG
rnacentral:rRNA from 1 species